GUUCUUAACAAAACGCAAAAAGUCUGAUACUGAUAGCGAUAUUUCAGUACCUUCCACUCCUCCUGAACUCAAAAGCGUUGUAAAUUCGACAGUGAGAAAAAUGUUGCAUGCUGAACAUACGAGACAAUAUCAACAUCAAAAUUAAUACCAUUUCUGAAACGAAAAGCAAUAGAUUACUGAUCAAAAAAGUCUUAAGUUUUUACGCGUAGUUUUGAUAAAGGGAAUAUCUGGUGCCUUGCGACGAGUGAAUUAGUAAAAAUGGUGUUUGAAGAUAUUCAGGAAGAGAAUGUUAUAGAAUAGUAACCGUUCCUGAUACCAAGACAGAUAAGAAGCGUGUUUUCACUGUUACUAAUAUUGAUUCCAUAAAAAUUUAUCGUAAAUAUGCAGCUUUACGACCAAAAUAUAUUGUUAAUAAUCGUCGUAUUUUCUUGAGAUUGGUAAACGGAAAGGGCACUGCACAAGUUGUUGGAGUGCAUACCAUUGGGAAAAUGCCAAGUUUUCGGAGAAGUUCUGCCACGCAGCUUGCCAAUACUGGGGCUGAUAUGUCAAUUCUUAAACGUCACGGUGGAUGUGAGUCCACGACAGUAGCGGAAGGAUAUAUAGAAGACUCUAUCGAAAAUAAGAAGCAAAUUUUCCAGCUUAAUUUCUGAAAAUAUAGUAUAUGAUUUGAAUGUAGGCAAUUAAUGCUAAUAUUCAUCCUAAAUAAUAUAAGUACUUAUGCAUUUGUUGGUAUUCAAUAAAAAAUAAUCCUUGUC